rfam:Sphingomonadales bacterium BRH_c42 BRHa_1002346, whole genome shotgun sequence.
AGAUUAGGUAUCUUCGAACCGUCAUAGACCAUGACGUUGAUAGGCCGGGUGUGGAAGCGCAGUAAUGCGUGGAGCUAACCGGUCCUAAUAGUUCUGAUCGCGCUUGAUG